UAAUAAUACCGGCGGUCCUGUUUUACACAUGCCACACAGGGCUAUACCAGCAUGGAGACAAGGACCGUAAACGUUUUAAACUAUUCAAAUAUUUAUAAAAUGGGUGAUCACAGUUGUUAUAACUUCAUGGUUUAUGGAAUGGAACAUGGUUUGCCUGUCUGAUUAAAAUAUAGAUCUGAA